rnacentral:rRNA from 1 species
UACAGAGGGUGCAAGCGUUAAUCGGAAUUACUGGGCGUAAAGAGCUCGUAGGCGGUUUGUCGCGUCUGCUGUGAAAACCUAAGGCUCAACCUUGGGCUUGCAGUGGGUACGGGCAGACUAGAGUGCGGUAGGGGUGACUGGAAUUCCUGGUGUAGCGGUGGAAUGCGCAGAUAUCAGGAGGAACACCGAUGGCGAAGGCAGGUCACUGGGCCGCAACUGACGCUGAGGAGCGAAAGCAUGGGGAGCGAACAGG